AUGGAAACUCCAGGCCUGGAGUCCUGCUGGGAAACAGUCUGCUUGGCUGUUACAAAUGGUAACUUUUGCUGUCUUUGUUGGUCCCUCCCCAUGGGGCACAGAGAUGCUCUUCAGUGUGUCCUGAGACCACCCUCCACAGUGAGGGGGAUUGCAGUGGUGUCAUUUCCUAGGAAAUGUAAUCCCAGCACUUUGGGAGGCGGAGGCGGAUGGACCGCGAGGUCAGGAGUUCAAGACCAUUCUGGCUAACGUGGUGAAACCCUGUCUCUACUAAAAAUACAAAAAAUUAGCUGAGCAUAGUGGUGGGCGCCUGUAGUCCCAGCUAGGGAGGCUGAGGCAGGAGAAUCGCUUGAACCCAGGAGGCGGAGGUUGCAGUGAACCAAGAUUGCGCCACUGCACUCUAUUUUGGGUGACAGAGCGAGACUCCAUCUCAAAAAGAAGAAUAAAAAAAGAGAAAGAAAAUACAGGUGUAAAUCUCUUGGGGCCAAAUUAAUAAUUUAGCACUUUCAAAAAAAUAGGUGUAUCUGUCCUAAUGUAGCCAGGCAGCCUCCAGCAUUCAAAUGCCACAAGCAGUCUUUUAUAGUAUUUCUUCCAUCCCAUUUUGAAGAAGUCAUCUGAGCAUGAAAAAUCUUUUGAGUCAAAAUGUGGGUAAUUGUGUUGACUUGUUCUAAACAUCUAAGGAGAAUCUCUCACUCGAGUAUAAAUUUGGGGUGUGUAGGUUUGAGUAAAGCAGUUUAUGUAAGAUGGGUGUGUUGGUUUGCUAACUAAGGCAUUAAGGAGAGGGUGGUUUGCAUCAGCGAAUCAAGUGUUGUUGAUAGGAGACAGGAAGAAAUCACCUAUUGUUCUGUUGUACAAUGCACCUGGGAUUUUACCUUGCUGGCACUUUCUAACUCUGGCUUCCUGACUCUAGAACUAUUUCAAAAACCAUUUUGACACCACAUUCCUACAAUCCCACUAUGUUUUCCAUUGGAAAUGCUAUUUCUGUAAUUUUUCAUGUCUGUUUAGUUAUUUUAGAAUCUUGGAACAGGAAGCACCUCAAGAUCAAAACAAAAUGAAAUUGAUUAAACACACACACACACACAUUUUACCAACUAUAACAUGUUCCUAAUUCAUGCAAUUACAGGCUCAGGGAGAAAAGAAGCGGGGGGGGGGGGCCAGGGAGGACCUGGGGAAGCAAUUGUCUGUGUGAGCUCCCAUUGUCCUGGCCUUUUCAUUGGUAAAACAGAGGAAAUACAGGUGCCUGAUCUUGACUCUUGUGGAAAGCUUUAAGUAGUGCCUCAAAGAUUUGGACAAUCUCUUAACUUGUAUAGAGUUACAAAGUUUGCUGUGUGCUGGGGACCAAGUUAUAGUACUUUGAGAAAUCUCUCCCAAAUCAACAGGAAGCAGAUCUUUAAAGAUCUCCCAGCUGGGGCUGGGAUACAAUGUUAUUGGAAGGAGUACCACUGUCAAGACCUCGGUGUUCAAGCCCUCCUCAUCAGUGAAUCCAAGUUCAAGUGAUUAUUACGUGCUUUGUGUUCACUGCUAAAUCAAGUGCUGUGAAUUCCGUUUCCUCUGGCAUCUUUUGGAAGCCUGGAACGGCUCUGGCUUUGGUGUUAAGUGCUUCCCUUGAUAUAGCCAAUGUGGACACUGCCAGCUCUGCACCCCAACUGGAUGUGAUGCAACAUAGGACUGUAUUGCCAAAUAUCCCACCUGAGCAUAGCUCAGUGAAUGUCUCAUUUCCAAUCCUGGAGUAUCUCCCUUCCAUGGUGAAAGGCUGGAGGGUGGCUCACUUCCCACAAGACUGAGGCAGUGCAUGAACAGGGAAUUUUGCACCUAGAAGCAAUGGGUUUAAGUUUUCUUCCCCAGAUUUGUGAUAUCAAAGGAAGACAGCCACAGAAUUUUGGGCAAGACCCUCUAGAUUAUGGGGAUUUAGUUUCCUUAGCAGUAAAAGGAAGGGGUUAACUUAGACCUCUUCUGUUUCUAGCACUCUAUUACUUUGAGUUUAUUAGAGCAAGUGAGAAUGUCUAUCUGUAAGAGCAGAUAAAUAAAGUGAACUUAGGACCAAGAGGUUGUCUUCCCUGUGUUUGUUGGGGAUGUUUACUUUGGGAUAAAGAUUCUGAAUAACAUUCCCUCUUUAACUCAUUGAGAACACAUUUGUCUGCAACAGAAGCUGGCUGUUGCAUCCUGCUUCUGGCUGAAUGCAGCCUGCUUCCUCUUUUUGUAAAUAAAGUUCUAUUGGAGCAUGGCCAUGCUCAUUCAUUUAGACAUAGACUAUGGCUGCAUUUGCACUAGGAGGGUACAGCUGAGUGGGUGGGGCAGAGACCACCUGAUCUACAAAGGCAAAAGUAUUUGCUAUCUUCUGGCCCUUUAUGAAAAAGUCUGUUGACCCCUGUUCUGGAACAUCAUUCAUCCCAUAAUACUCACCAAGGCUCUGCAAUGUGCCAGGCUCCCUACCAGCUGCUGGGGCAUAGAGAUGAGCCAGACCCACUGCCCGACUUGGAAAGUUUCCCAGCCUGGUGAGUGUUCAAUGAAGAAAUUAGAGAUUCCUUUAUUUAAAACAAUAAUACAGACAGCAAUAUUAUUCAUAAGAAGAAUUGCACAUUUUUUAAAUACACACCAGGAGUGACUAUCCUGCCCUGUUCUCUUUAUUGUAUGUGUAAGAGAUGUGGCUACAUGUUUGGUAAUGUGUCCUGUGUGUCUUAUUUUUUUUUUAUGCUGGAUUUCAGUUUUCCUUAGAACAAGGCAAUGUCUUUUUCUCAGUGAAAUGAAAAAGUAAAAAAGA
rnacentral:lncRNA from 1 species